GCCCAGGAACACUUCGCAGGGAAACGAAGCAAUAAUGAAUCACAGGCAUGUUUUUAAAAAGGAUUCCCAAUACUCUUUGGAGAAGCCAUUGGAGAAAGGGCCACUUUCCCCAAAGACUUUCCGCGCAGACUCCUUGAGGAGGAAACUCCCAUUUUGUCCCGGAAACAUCGUUGGUACCAUGGUAGCAGCCAAGAGACAAGCCACUUCUUCUGGAAACUUCCUCAGGCCUCACGUAUAAAGCACUCCCCCAACUUCUCCUCAGAUGAGUGGAUAGAACAUGCAGACGCUGGCACCAGGAGGGCGAGGCCUAGUUUCAUGUAUAUAGGGAAGGGAGGGCACGGUCCUGUCCAAGAAAGAUGACACAGCCUGGUGGUCACGACUGCUGUCUCACGGCAUCCUCCUGCUGAGACAGACACUACCACCGCUACCUCUACGCAGUGAGAUGGGGAGGUGGCAAUGGGACCCCUCCAUCUCUCUGGAGCUAGCUUUGAAUAAUUCCUUUCUCCUUUUUUUAAUCACAAUAAAUGGCCUCUUUUAAUCGGGUCAGUGGCAAGCAAAC
rnacentral:lncRNA from 1 species